rnacentral:RNase_P_RNA from 1 species
GCUACGGGCUACUCUGUCGCGGUUCGAUGAAAAUCGAAAUGAGGAAAGUCCGGACAACGCAGGGUACCACACCAGCUAACGGCUGGGGUCGCGACACUUGUGUCGGGAUACAGAAAGUGCAACAGAAAAUAUACCGCCUUCGGGUAAGGGUGAAAACGUGCGGUAAGAGCGCACGGCCGGGCUGGUAACAGUUCCGGUUGGUAAACCUUGUGGGUUGAAAUGCCAUGUACAUUCGGAUCAUCUCAAAGGGAAGGUUUCCUUCCCGGAGGGAAGUCAGGCUUACCCGGCCUGUUUUUCGCAAGGAAAGUUCGAAGGGGUAGGCAGAUAGAUCUUCGGCGCGAGCCGGAGGGUAGAUAAAUGACAGAGAUGUUGCUUCGGCAGCAUUACAGGAUCCGGCUUAUUGGCCCGUAGCAUUU